CAUUGUUGUUGUUGUUGUUGUUGUUGUUGUUGUUGUUGUUGUUGUUAUUCAGAAGAAGAACAACAACAACAACAGUCCAACAACAUCCCAA